rnacentral:rRNA from 1 species
GAUGAACGCUGGCGGCGUGCCUAAUACAUGCAAGUCGAGCGAACGGACGAGAAGCUUGCUUCUCUGAUGUUAGCGGCGGACGGGUGAGUAACACGUGGAUAACCUACCUAUAAGACUGGGAUAACUUCGGGAAACCGGAUCUAAUACCGGAUAAUAUUUUGAACCGCAUGGUUCAACAGUGAAAGACGGUCUUGCUGUCACUUAUAGAUGGAUCCGCGCUGCAUUAGCUAGUUGGUAAGGUAACGGCUUACCAAGGCAACGAUGCAUAGCCGACCUGAGAGGAUGAUCAGCCACACUGGAACUGAGACACGGUCCAGACUCCUACGGGAGGCAGCAGUAGGGAAUAUUCCGCAAUGGGCGAAAGCCUGACGGAGCAACGCCGCGUGAGUGAUGAAGGUCUUCGGAUCGUAAAACUCUGUUAUUAGGGAAGAACAUAUGUGUAAGUAACUGUGCACAUCUUGACGGUACCUAAUCAGAAAGCCACGGCUAACUACGUG